UCGGAUCAAAUUUGAUGACCAAUUUAUGCAGAAAUCCAGGUAUUUCCAAAGGGUUCACAUACUUUGUCUUGCCACUGUAAUUAUCCAUGCUACCAUUAGCAUCUCAAUGCCAGAAGUGCGUUCAGCAUGCAUAGACCACAUACGUUCACCCAAACGAGUUCUGGAAACCUAUUGGGCCUACUUCUACUAGAGUCUCAACGUGUGCAUGGGCAAGUAAUUGCUCAUUACUCAUGAUUGGAGUUGAGCUCCACUCAGUUGUUUAAUCUUCAGGUUGGCAUGACAACUGAAGAAACAGACAUAAAUUGUUCAGCAAAAAAAAGGCAUCAGUCUCCUCCUCUCUGCUCCACAGAAGCUUCCCCAAAUCAAUCUUUACCCCAGUGAACAAUGUGGUGUGUCACGGUAUACCUGACAGGUAUUCAGCUCCUUUUAGCUGUACAGUCUAGCCCUGGCUCCGGCUCCGGCUCCAGCUGGGAAACCCCCUCUCUCCAUUAUACCAGCGCAAUUUAGGAAUCAACCCCAGGAACAGUGAUGGCUGGCAGUGGAGUUAUGAGAAGAUGUUUUUCGUUUAAAUAAAGCGACAUGAGUAUAGAAACAGGGGAACACACAGCCCAUUGUGUUGCAGAUAGGUCUUGGAAAGGAUCCCUGUUGGUCAUUGAUAGGCUUGUCUUUUGCUAUGAAGAAGCUCAUUGAUGUCCUAUCCUUCCAAUGAAACAGAAACAAAUUACAUGCAGGUUAAUGUAAUGAUUUGUAUGGCAUAUGAAUAUAGCACAUUUUAAUGGAGAGAAAAAUAUGCAUGAGUAUGUAUGGAAGACAGACAUGAUGGACUACAAAAAAUAUAAUAUCUCAGACUCAGACUAUUUAACAUUUCAAGUUCCUGAUAUAAAGUACAUGGAAAUAAAAACUUGAGAUGGUUCAGAUUGUAUCAGUCUUUUAAAAAUAAAAAUAUGUUAUUUUAUUUUGGUAGACCUCAAGUUCAACCAUUUCCUUUCCUUGGGUGAAGGUCUUUUUGCAUCACUACCACCUCUGUUUUUACAUGAAAACACCAAAAGAGCAGACUGACCUAGGAGAUAACAUCUUGGGUCUCAAAGGACGAUUAAAAAGAAAUUGGACUAAAUUGUUUCUAAUUUUAUGUCGUCUACUUUUUCUGUAUGUUUAUCUUGUUCAUGGUUUCUCAGAAACUCCCACUUUCUGAAUUGCUCCAAGUGUUUUUGUUUUUUAUGCCUCUGGAUUUCCAGACCACCACUUCAGGCUGGAGAUGUUAUCAAGAAUGAUGUCAGUGUGACUAUUUCUCUCUCUCAUACACAUUCAUACACAUACAGUCAGGGCGGCAAUUCUUCAAGAAAAAUAACUGAACUCAGUCAGGGUCUCAAUUUACUGUUGAGAGUUAGAAUGGAGGAAUACACAAGGUGAAUUGUCUAAACGUGGGUGCGGCAGUUUUCAUCUUGUUCUAUGUCACUCACUGACAAUCACUCAAUUAGCCCAUGUCAGUUAAAACAUUUUAAAUUGGUAAAUGAGUCUAGUUAGUAUAAACAGCUAUCUAAACUUGCAGCAGGCUAACCAUGGCUGACCACCAGGCGGCCCCCGUUGAUUUUCCUAGUCACUCUCACUCAGAUAUCAUUUUCACCUAGCAUAAGUGGUGGCAAAAUGUGUAGAAUUUCAGGAAAUGUGCAGUGAAACUGCAUUAAAAAAAAUCAAGUUCUGUAAAUCAAACAUAUUUGUUUACCUUGUGUUCAUAAAAUACUUCUUCUGCUAACAGAUCCCUCUGUACAUAUUCAAUUACCAUUUUUAAUCCCGGUGCUGAGUUAACGUGUAACGGCUAACAGGCUAUGCGUUUGUAGAUCGAAUGAGGGGAAUGAAGGUACAGUAAACCAAUGUGCUGAUCUCCAAAUGCCCUUUUAGAUUUUUUAAAUUAUAUAGCAAUGCAGUAUUUGAGCUUCAACUUUCUAAACAUGUAUUGGACCAGACCUCACUAAAAACUCAGACCCUGGCUAUAUAUAACAUAGCCUACAUAGGUCAAGCUUUGAUCCACUUUGAUCCAGUUCUUGAAUUGCCAGUAGCGGCAGGAAAAACAGUAAAUUGAAAACGAGGAAUGCACAAAGGGGUGUGCUGUUUACUUGUACGCCGGCAGCUGGAUAGCUACUCCCUCUGCUGCCCCCCCCCUUUUCAAUUCCAGCCAGACCCCAGGCUCAGGCACAAACUGGGGGCUGAAAUACUGUGUGCUGGGAUCAAUGCAGUCCUGAGUGAAAUGUCAAACGCGUCCCUGCUAUGUGUCAGGCUGUGGAGGAGUCGUAAUGGUUAUUGAUCCGCUGUGCGCUUAAUGCAGAGCUCCCUCGCCACUCUAUGGGCCAGCUGCAGCAGAUAGAUAUGUAUGAGAUGAGCUAGAACGGAGAAGAUAGAAAAGAAAGAGCCUACCGUUCCCCCCCUUCCAUCCCUCCCUCCUUCACUGCGGAUUGAUCUUCCUCUUCCUGCUGAUUCUGACUGGGGUCCGUCAUUAUCUUCCUCUGUCAUUAGGCGCUCCAUUGACAGCCUUGGCCUGUCUGUGUCACUCUAUUGAGACAGCAACACUUUUCCCUCACAGUGCUCUUACGUUUAUUAAAAUCCCUGACAGGCUAGCUGGUCUCCGAGUGCAUUAGGGACACCUUAACCCUUGCUGCUGGUGAGCUUUCUCUGGAUAGAUGCCCAAGCUUGAAGAAAACUGUGGAAUGAUUAGUAAACACGCUAACCUCAGGAAUGGAUUUGAUAAUAGGGUACCUGUCCUUGUGACAGUGCUAAGGUGUAGAUGGUGUGGUUUCCAUUGCGUGAUGGGAUAAGAUGACUAAUCAUCGUAGUUCAAAGUCAAACCACCUGUCCAACCAUCCAGAAGGGUUACUGACACUGCAGUGGUGUUUAGUUGGUCUUGAUGAUUACACCCGUCUAGGAAUUACAUGUGUGCGUGAACUUGUGUGUAAAGCCAUUUUUGAUGCAUGAGAAUCUUUCCACAAAAUGACAACUGAUGAUUGUAUCAUACAGGGACAGUUCCUUUGUUUCCUUCACUGUGAGUCAACCAUUUAUCUCAAUCGUCAAUUAAUGUCAGGCAAGCAGAAUGUUACCGACCCCUUGAGAUGUUUGUGUUUUGUUCGUGUGUCAGACAAAUAAACCCUGCUUAGUGGUGGCAGGUCGUGUUACAAGUCAGCAGUGGCCUGGAAUUAAUAUCAUUGUCUUUUGAUUUACCCCCAUUGGCCUCAUAUAGUGGCUAUAUGAAUGAUAUGUGCUUUCAAUUUAAACAUAGAAGUCAUCAAUGGCAAAAGAAACCAAUAUACCACCUCUUCGCAGCCCAUAGAGGAAAUAAUGUACGGCUUCAAGGCUCUCUUAUUUCUUUAAAUUGUGAACAUUGUGAACGUCAGUGUUUUCAUAGGCUUUUUAUUUCCGCAUCGCUGCUUGAAUAUGCUUUAGUGCUAUUCUCUGUUUCGGGCCUAUCACCAUGGCAACCUGACAAGUUGCAGACAUUUCUGGUGGCUGCCAGGAGAAGCGCUGCUGGGGGGGGGCUGCAUGGAGAUGCUUGGCUAUGCUGGGAGCUGAGUGUUGGUGGCGGGACACGGCUAUUGGCGCCUGUGAGCUGGACACCCCCACUACAUGUCACCGGAGGCACAAUCAGGUGGGACCAGGGGGUCCCUGACUGGCUGGCCAUGUAGCACACAGGCUGCUCAAUGGGCCAGAAGUUAUUGGGGGGUUGGGAUGAAGCUGAUGACAUGGCUGGUGACAGGAGACUCAUCAUUUGAGUGUGAUACAAGCAUUUGAGCUGCCAGGCUGUAAUGUUGCUCGCCUUGCCUGGAAAGAUUUAUCCCAGAUUGCAGGGCCUAAGGGGUCAGCAGCUAUACAUGUGGGAACAGUUUAAGCUUUGUCUGAAUAAAUUGCAGUUUUGUGGGGGUAUACUAACAUCCCAAAAAUGGACAACAUCCAGGUGUCAGCUAGUGAGCAAAAAGAAUAAGAAACACUAAUCUACCAUUGAUAGCAGUGGGAUAGUUAUUGCUCAAUCACACAAUGUGAUCUAACAGUUGGUUUUAACAGUUUUAUAACAUUUUCAGAAUGAUUUAGUAGGGUACAAUGUUUGGAGCAAUACAUGCUCCAAACAUUGUAUUCAUAGAUCAGAUGUUCAGUCUAGACAGAGCAAUGUGGCUCUGAGGAGAGCGCGCAUUUACUUAUUCCAAUUCAUAUUUUGAGAACUUCCAUUUCUCUAAAUUGGUUGAAUUCGCUUUGUGCAUCAUGCAUUUCGUCUCAAGCAUUUUUACAAAGAAUAAAGGUAGACUGUAUGAAAUAAUGAUUUCUUAAAUUCAGAAGGUACACCGUUAUCAAGAUGUAUGUCGGCCAUUCGCUGUAGCACAGAGAUUGAAAUUAUAGGCUGGCUCCUGCUUGUCAAGAAUCUUUUCUAUCUUUGCUGUGGGGAGGAAAUGUUUAAUCCGACCCCCACUGAGAGACAAAAAAGUAAUGCACAUCUCACUGUCUCUCCUGUCUGCCAGCGUGAUGAAAGAGUUAUUUUUGAAAAGGGAGAGUUUACAGGCAAGGGAACAUCAUAUUUAUGAACACCCGGAGUUUAAUGCACUCUACAACACUGCCAUUCCUGUGUUCCAUUGAACACAACAUGUUCUGCUAAAUGAAGAAAAGGAAAAGCAACAAAUUAUUCCUCAGCCUUUUUCUAUCAAGCCUCCUGCAUUCAUGGCAGUCUAAAGGGAAUGUCAGUCGCCCUGCCUCUCAGAGAUGUAAUUAUCCUUUUCCUCUCACAGAACAACAAAUGAUAGCCAGCGACUGGGGUGCAUUUGCAGGAGCUGAAAUUUCGUCAAUAGGAAGGAGAAAGAGGUUUAAUUUUCAGGCAGCUGCAGAUCUACUUUUUUUAUGUAGUUAUUUUCAACGGUCAUUUGUCUACAUACGUUUUUGUGUACGUCCGUGUGUGUGUGAGGGAGAGAGUUUGUGUGUUUAUAUGUCUUUGUUUGCUAGCUUUUGAGGGGUGUAUUUAUCUGACCCUACAUUAACCUAUUUAUUUAUAGUCCUAUACUUUCUUACAGUCACCUUUUUUUGUUGUCGCCAUUUCACACUCUAUAUUGUCCAAGUAAUUUCCCUUUCAGCAUCUCUGUUUUUUUUUUACCUUUCAGAAAGAGCUCUGAAUGGAAGGAAAAUUAUCACAAUUACUCAUAUAAUUGAGCCGUCUUUGUAGCAAGUGAAGCUUCAGUAGCCUUUUUCCAUCAGCCAAAAUGGUUUCAUUAUAUGUGUUUUUCAUAUUCCCUGACAUGGGGCUUCACUGAGGGCCUGGCACGUGGAUGAGAUGCAGAGGGAACACUGUGAACCAUUAAGGUCACAGUAGGAAUAAUUAUCCCAGCUAUGGAAAGAGCAUCUAGAGCCUUUUCUCUUCCCCAGCACAAAUGCACCGCACCGUCCACUGCUUUUAGUCACAAAGAACUUUCUAACAAAUGGAGCUUCCACCUACUACUUAUACAAAGAAGAGAGGGGGAGAGUAAGAGACUUGUAUCAACAUGACAAUUUUCCAUCAUUAAGACUAAUGACAGGCACGGACUGUGGGGAUCAAGGGGAACACAAAAAAGGGAGCGCAUUCAGGUGUUGGUGACUCCCCUGACAGUUCUGAUGAGUGAAGGUACACUGCACCGAAUCCCUACUCCCUCCACAUAUUGUCAUCUUUCGAUACACUUACUUAUACAGUUUGAUAUUUGAGAAGCUGUAAAUAAUGUAUCAUGCCUUCUGUCUGAAGUAACUGAAAUAAAGGACAAUUGAUAGCUAGAACAUUGUUCCAUUUAUUAUAAGAAUAUUUCAAACUCAGAAAUGGUAUAAUUGCUAUAAUUUCAUAACAUCUUUGCAUUUUUAUAAAGACAUCGUGACUUCUCAACAUAAUAGUCAAGCAAUUGUUCAAUUGUAUUGCAUUUGAAUUUCAUUUAUAACAUAAUGCAGUAUCUAUUUACAGAGUGGGAAUGAGUAAAUCCAAAUCAAUUAACUGUUUGAUGCUACAUUGAACGGGAAAAUUGACCUCUAAGGUUGACUUAAUUCGUCUAGUUGGUGCCCAGCGAAGCAGCAAAUUACAAGGCAAAGACCUCCAAGCGCAGAGGAGAAGCUGGGAGAAAUGCCAUCCAGAGGACCUGGGUGGAUUGAUCAUAUUGUUAAAUAAAUAUUUGUUUAUCAACAGCUUGUUUUAGACAUCAGACAGAUAUCAAUCACAUGUUAAAGUAGUUGGUACUCUGAUAAAGACGCAUUAAUUAAUUAUUGCCGAUUUGAGAGAAAUAUAGUAAUUUUGUCUUGCUAUUAUUGGCAAAUAGAUCAAGUUCAUGUAACGUAGAUGAUACUGUUGAGUUUGUCUUUAUAAAAUGUUGCACGCUUAAUGAAUACAAUAUUAAUUGGCGACAAAAGUAAUACAAGCAUGACAAAUGAAUACAACACAGUAGUUUGUUCAGAGCAGUCUCUGAUAUUCCUAGCCUGUUAGAAAUCUACGGUGUGGAUACGUUUCCACGUAGUACCUCCUCGUGUAAACAGAAAGAUGAUGCACAGAACAGUGUACUGCACAUCAAAAGACAUGCAUUGCAACAAGAAGCAAUCUUUUCGAUGAAAUAGAACCAAAGUGAGGAGGUUUAGAAACAGGAUAUGUUUCUCACCUCUUCCUUUAACAUGGAUAUUCUGCAGAUAUCCAUAGUAUCCCUCUGGUCCAGCAUGUUAUCGUGGCAAUGUUGUUGCUAAAUGAUCUGUUUAAAAUGAACUGGGCAUUAUGUAGUCCGAAUUUACAGAGCAUUUUACAACAUUCCUCAGAUAUUCUUCAUAAUAAAGUGUCACCUCAUGAAAACCACAUUUACAAUUGCAAUGGAUGGCCAUCUUCGAGAGUAAUGUGAUUCAUAGAAUAUGGCUGUACAACUCAUGGCUAAGUCUUGCCAUGGAUAGCGUGUGUCCCUCCCUUCAACAUAGAGGAAAUUAAAUAAAACGGAGUAUCCUGUGCCACCAACAACAGUAAUUAAUCAUUGACAUUUACUCACAUUUACCCUGGGUCUUACAGUCUGAAGCAACAGAAGAACAGAAUUAGUCUGGCAAGCUCAUAGGUGCAGAGAAUAUUAAUUUGAGAAACAUGAUUUUUUCCAGAGCCACAGCAUUAACAUUUGGCGACUGUUAAAAUGUCGUUUGGAAGGGACAGUUAGUGAGCAUUUUCCACCAGGGGGCUGAAAUGAGGUCUGUGACACUUCAGGCCCUGUCGCCUCCACCCUUAGCACUGGCUGCUAACCCUCAGGUGGAGUGCAGCAGGUGUUAAAACACACUCUGCCAUAGAGCUACUCACUGCUAAUGAGUCCUGUCUCCUUAAAUUCUCUGGUCCACUGAUGCUUCCAUGCACAUGGGCUUUAUUGUUAGCGUAGGCCAGUUAGAGCAAUGCCAUGAUUACAUUCGAAGAUAAAAAAAAUCGUGUAAGACUGACCAUUACAAGGUACCUCCAUCUGGAGGAGCCACGAAUGUAAAGGCAUGUCAUGCUGCAACCAUGUCAUGUUGCAACGAAUUUCAAUGUGUACAAUAUGUUACGAAUUUGCAAAACGAAUGAUAUAUGAAUUCCUAGUCACCUAACUUCAGCUAGGUGACUAACGCUAACAUUGGCUAGAUGGUUAAAGUUAGCUAGGCUGGGGGUCAAGGUUAAGGUUAGGGUUAUGUUAUUAAGAUUAGGGGAAGGGGAAGCUAACAUGCUAAGUAGUUGCAAUGUUGCUAAUUAGCUAAAGUAGUCCGUGAUGAGAUUCGAACACACAUCCUUUGAGUUGCUAGAGGUUCGUGCCACCCAUCCCACUUGAACAACUUUUGUUUUUGUCUAAAGUAGCCAACUCUCUGAUGUAACCAUACCAAACAUAACAUAUCAUACAAAUUUGAAUGUCCCGGAUUUAUCUUUACUAUGUUAUGUCUCGUCUAUGACAAACGCUUCUCCAAGUCAGCAGUGUCCUUAAAAGCUGUGAUUUUUAAUUUGGAAUUGCAUUUAGUCUGAUUGUAAUAAAAGCAUGGAACACAAAUUGGUAUUCUAUUGUUCUUUAUUAUUCUUAAUGGAAAAUAUAGGUUGAAAAUAAUUAAUUAAAUCGUUACAUGAAAUGCUAAUUAAUAUUUGCCCUGUUCGAGAAUUGAGGAUUUUGUCAAAACAAAUAUUAUUGUAAACAAAGUUAAUUACAAUGCCAUUUGAGAAAGACUAUAUAUCUACUGGUAACGACUUGAUAUGCAUGUUGUUAUAUUUAAAUAUCAGCAGGCCUAUGUUUUAGAUUGGGUUACUUGACAUUUUCUUCAGUGAAACUGUAUUCAUGUGAGUAUUUAUCUUUUGUCGUGCUUUUCCUUGGAAUUAAAUACAUUUUAAAUCUGUUAA